rnacentral:rRNA from 1 species
AAACGGGGUUUUCUCUCCCGCGCGCGGGUUUAUUCACAUCAUAGCGGAGGAAAGAAACCAACAGGGAUUGCCUCAGUAACGGCGAGUGAAGCGGCAACAGCUCAAAUUUGAAAUCUGGCCUCCUUGGGGGUCCGAGUUGUAAUUUGUAGAGGAUGCUUCGGCGUGGGCCCCGGUCUAAGUUCCUUGGAACAGGACGUCACAGAGGGUGAGAAUCCCGUACGUGGCCGUGGGUGCUCGCCAUGUGAAGCUCCUUCGACGAGUCGAGUUGUUUGGGAAUGCAGCUCUAAAUGGGAGGUAUAUUUCUUCUAAAGCUAAAUAUUGGCCAGAGACCGAUAGCGCACAAGUAGAGUGAUCGAAAGAUGAAAAGCACUUUGGAAAGAGAGUCAAAAAGUACGUGAAAUUGUUGAAAGGGAAGCGCUUGCAACCAGACCUGUCUGCAGUUGCUCAUCCGGGCUUCUGCCCGGUGCACUCUUCUGCAGUCAGGCCAGCAUCAGUUCUGGCGGUCGGAUAAAGGCGGUGGGAAUGUGGCUCCUCUCGGGGAGUGUUAUAGCCCAUCGUGCAAUGCGGCCAGCUGGGACUGAGGUCCGCGCUUCGGCUAGGAUGCUGGCGUAAUGGUUGUAAGCGGCCCGUCUUGAAACACGGACCAAGGAGUCUAACAUCUGUGCGAGUGUUUGGGUGUCAAGCCCAGGCGCGUAAUGAAAGUGAACGGAGGCGGGAACCUUCGGGUGCACCGUCGACCGAUCCUGAUGUCUUCGGAUGGAUUUGAGUAAGAGCAUA